UGCAGCAGGCGCGAAACCUUUACACUGCACGACAGUGCGAUAGGGGGACUCCGAGUGCGAGGGCAUACAGUCCUCGCUUUUCUGUACCGUAAGGUGGUACAGGAACAAGUGCUGGGCAAGACCGGUGCCAGCCGCCGCGGUAAUACCGGCAGCACGAGUGAUGGCCGAUAUUAUUGGGCCUAAAGCGUCCGUAGCCGGCCGGACAAGUCCGUCGGGAAAUCCACGCGCUUAACGGGUGGGCGUCCAGCGGAAACUGUUUGGCUUGGGGCCGGAAGACCCGAGGGGUACGUCCGGGGUAGGAGUGAAAUCCCGUAAUCCUGGACGGACCACCGGUGGCGAAAGCGCCUUAAGAAAACGGAUCCGACCGUUAGCUCGCCUCGCCGGCC
rnacentral:rRNA from 1 species